UCAAAUGGCCUCUGCAAGACCCAAAUCUAGAUUUUUCCCAGAUCUAGGGAGUCAGAAGAAUGCAAAGUUGUUGGCAAGGGACCCGAGCAUUUAAAAAACAGAUAUAAAUGGCACAAAAAUCUGUGAUGUUGCAGUUAGGAACAAGCAUGUAUGAACAAUGCCAUAGCCCGAGAAGCAACUGGGAUGAAACCAGAGCUUAACAUGCAGCACUCUAUGACAAACAUGGCAGCUGGCUGCUGAGAGCAGCAGAGAAAGGGAAGUGCCGACAAACAAGCAAACACCAAGUGGCAGCAACAACCACCACUGCUUCCCUAGGCUCAUGUGCCAACACAAAUGAAUAUCUGCACCCACCUCCUCCUCCUCUUCUGAGGCAACAGCACUUGGUACUGAGAGACUCAGCAUGCAACGUCCUACUUCCUCAUAUACUGUAGAAAGGCUAGGAUGAAAGGAAGGAAGCAAAAACGGAAAUCAUGAAACCUUUUGAUGUUUCUUCUUGGGAAGAAAUCUAACAUUCUCUUUUGAAUUUCACCUUGGAGAAAUUUUGGUUCCAAUCCUAGGAAUGAGAAGGUAGUUCCUUGUCCCAAAGAGAAUAAGAGAAACACAAGGAAGAUGGCAAAUUCUCUGCUGGGUUGAAUCAGGACAGUUGCUCUCCCCUUGCAAAUAUAUGAGAACCGCCAUUUUAAAAGAGGCUUCUUUUCUCAGCUAGCAAACGUAGAUGAUCACAAGAUAUGGCAAGGUAUGGAUGCUCCCAAGAACCUGAAUAUAGUCCAACUCACAGAAACAGGCUAUGGUUCAUAUAAAGUACGUAUGUAUUUCAGAAAUUGUGUUCAUCAGUUGGCUAUCUCCCUUUUCACUAACCGACACUGAAAUCUUAAAUUUAAUUAAAUAGAAAUGUUUAGGAGUAAAUAGCCUAUGGACUACAGCCUAAGCACUUAAACAGUCAAAAGGAAAUAUUACUGUAUAUCAAUAUGGGUGACUUUCCCCCUCAGAAUAAUUGAUUAGGGUAAGUGAGAACCAAACUAAACAGAUUAUAUAGUGGUCCAAAUAGUUUCUUCAAUGCGUUGCCAUGCUCUAGAGAUGUGGAUAAAUUGUUUACAACACAGUGCCUUCAGCAAACAUUCUUCCCUAGUGGGCAUUAUUGAUUAAAAAUCCACAUUUGUAAUCUGCAUUGAAAGAAUUAAUCCAUUAAUCGCAUUAGUUAAUCUUGCAGCUUUCAGCCUUAGCUUCUAUGUGGCUUGUUUUUCUUUAUGGCAAUAAACCUGAAUGUGCUUUUUUUUUGGUGAGAACACAACUUUUGUUGUUAAUAAGAUGAUGUCAUGAAAUGUUGAGAACCUCUGCUUCUGUUUGGUAGACUGUUUAAAAAAAUUUAAACUGAGACCUCCCACACACAGGAUUUGUGAUCACACCGCAAGGAAGCAGCUCCCACAAUGUGGUGUGUCUGUGGUGUGUGUAAAGCUCACCAAAAUGAUGCAAAAUGAAGGCCUGGAAGGAGAAGGGAGCAGACCAUA